CAGGCUUGUGUGCAGCCAGACAUUUCCCAACGUUUCCCAAAAGUCGGUGUCUACGUUGGAGGCACGCUUUCUCGCGCCAAGCUUUGCCAUCUUCGUUUUGAAUGUCCAAAUGGAGCUGAGAGUCUCAAGCAGGCACAGACCUUUCUGACAUCCCAAGACAAUACAGUAGCCAUGGAAAGCUGAGGCCGAGGCUUUGAGGUUGUAGGCCCAGGUGCUCGUGCAGAAGCAGGAAACCAGGACUCGUUCUGUUUAAUCACGGCAGCUUUGCCUGAAGAAAAAUGGCUUUCCUGGGAAGAUCAGAAACUACUUCAGAACUGAGAGAGGGACCCGGAGCCGUUCCUUACCGAAUCCUUUCACCCUCCCCCAUUACAUUUUUCUCCAGGACUUUCCGAAUACCCAGAUCGCAGGUGCUUAAACCACAGAAGUGGCCGGAUGAAAAGGCCAGCUCCAACCACUAAUUCCCUGGAGCCUGGCGUAACCUGAGUCCCGAGCACGGAUUCUGGAUAACAGAUCUUUUGGGGUGGUGCCGCCGGACUUGAGCAGAGCCCAGUUAAGCCCAGCGAGCCCUUAAGCUGACCUGUGAGUGAAACAGCAGUUCACGGGCUGCAUAACGCUUACGUUAAUAGGUGGAGAUAUGAAUAUCCAGAGUAGUGUUUGCUAAACCCCUGAAAAUCUACUGAGAGUGUAUUUUGCAGCACUGGGGCGUUCCAAGCAAAAUCAGAGAAUACCAGUAAUGCUGGGAGUGAGGCAGUUCUCCUGCCCAGUUUUGCAGGUUCCUGACAUUUAAAGCAUUCAGGCUCUCAGAUGCUGAUCCAAACCUUACGAUGCAGUCGCUCCGGGGUGUGUUUCCAAGCAUUCAGGCAAGAUUUUUCAAAAGGUCAGGAUAUACGGUGAGGGCCAGAUUGAGGAAAAAGCUCAAAACUGCGUUUGGGCAGCUGGAUAAACCGAAGCAGCUCCUUUUAGAAUGUACCAGGUGCAGAACUGGGUGCUGCACCAUCUGAAAAAGGUCCUGAUCUGGCCAGGCUUUAAGCUGCUGCAGGAUUACGUCUCCCAAAAUAUUGUCCCAACAAGUGCAGUGCUCACCUGAGAGAUGCAGCUAGAUUUGGGAAAUCUCUGUUUCUACACCAGAAGGAACAGAUGGAUAUUAAACAAGCAGACUUCCCUAAACAUGUGUAACUGAUAAUAUGCCAAACAAACGUUUCAGGUAGGAAGUCUACAAGCAGAGCUUUUGUUUACUUAAUUGAAGCUCGGGAGAGUGGUCUCUGUGCAUCAGUGUGCUGCUGGCAAGGCUCCGGGACUGGCUGUAUCAGGUUUCUGCCUACAUUAUUUGCACGUGGGGGAGGAAAAGCCCUUCCUCCUGUGACACAGCAGCAGCCCCGAAGAGGCCAGGGCUGGAUUUUCAGCUGCCUGAGCCCUGCACAUUGGAACAGAUGUUCAGAAGUC